rnacentral:rRNA from 1 species
UACGUAGGUGGCAAGCGUUGUCCGGAUUUAUUGGGCGUAAAGCGAGCGCAGGUGGUUUAUUAAGUCUGGUGUAAAAGGCAGUGGCUCAACCAUUGUAUGCAUUGGAAACUGGUAGACUUGAGUGCCGGAGAGGUAAGCGGAGUUCCUAGUGUAGCGGUGAAAUGCGUAGAUAUUAGGAGGAACACCAGUGGCGAAGGCGGCUUACUAGACGGCAACUGACGCUGAGGCUCGAAAGCGUGGGGAGCAAACAGG